CGCGUAGGCGGCUUUAUAAGUCGGGGGUGAAAGCCUGUGGCUCAACCACAGAAUUGCCUUCGAUACUGUAGAGCUUGAGACCGGAAGAGGUAAGUGGAACUGCGAGUGUAGAGGUGAAAUUACGUAGAUAUUCGCAAGAACACCAGUGGCGAAGGCGGCUUACUGGUCCGGUUCUGACGCUGAGGCGCGAAAGCGUGGGGAGCAAACA
rnacentral:rRNA from 1 species